rnacentral:rRNA from 1 species
AAAUAUAUCAUACUAUAGUCGCUUAUACAUAUAUGAGCAAGCAUGUAUGCAUGUACAAAAAAAAGAGCAUAGAGGAAAGAUACAUGACAUCACGUAUCUCAUGAUUCUAUGCGAAUGCGACUAUUUGUCAAACGGUACUCGUUGUUAUUGAAAACGAUUCCCGUUUUAGUUAAGAAUGAAACGAUAGCAAAAAUUUAAUAAUACCCAUGUAUUAUUAUAUCGAAUGUAAUAUAUGAUGUGGUGUAUUUAAGCUAGUGAUGUAUUAUUACUACCGUCGUCGAUGAUAUAGAUUAUCAAUGGGUAUCAUUGAGAAUCGUGCAAUAUAAUAGAUUGAAUUUCAUCGUCGAUAGAUGACAUGUGUUGUUUAGUAAUAAUACGGCUAUUUAAACAUUAGCUAUAAUGCACCGAAUCAUAAUAUCAUAUUACAUUGAAUUUUCUCUCCAAAUGCAACCUGAACUCAGAUGUGAUUACCCGCUGAACUUAAGCAUAUCAUUU